GUGAAAAGGGUUUUCAGGUGGAAAAGACUGGUCCAGAGAAGAGGGGUCAGCUAAUCAUCCAUGCAGUGCAUGAUCCGGCUCAAGGGCUACAAUGAACUUCACAGACCUGUGAGUCAAAUACCUUUUCUACAAAUAAAACAAUCCUGAAGGCAGAGGUGGAUGUUGCAGUGAUUUUCAACUUGAUUUGAAAUCUUUUUCUACUUUGACUCGUUGGAAGACUAUGCUAUUGAUCAGGACAAUUCAGAAAAAAUAUCUCGGUAAACAAAAAUGAGAUUGAAAUUUUCAUUUCCUCUUUCCUGUCAUAAGGUAACUAUUUUUCAGUUAACGUAAUAUGGUGAUUCAUUUCCCCCAUUUGAAACUCUAAGAAUUGGCUCAGGUUUGACAUUCCUGUUACAACUUCCUAAGUGCUACUCUUGAAUAAACAAGGAAAAUGUGCAACUUUGCUUUUAUAUUACACAA
ensembl:lncRNA